rnacentral:rRNA from 1 species
UACGAAGGGGGCUAGCGUUGCUCGGAAUCACUGGGCGUAAAGCGCACGUAGGCGGCUUUUUAAGUCAGGGGUGAAAUCCUGGAGCUCAACUCCAGAACUGCCUUUGAUACUGGGAAGCUUGAGUCCGGAAGAGGUGAGUGGAACUCCGAGUGUAGAGGUGAAAUUCGUAGAUAUUCGGAAGAACACCAGUGGCGAAGGCGGCUUACUGGUCCGGUUCUGACGCUGAGGCGCGAAAGCGUGGGGAGCAAACGGG